GGUAGCGUGGCCGAGGGGUCUAAGGCGCUGGAUUUAGGCUCCAGUCUCUUCGGGGGCUGGGGUUUGAAUCCCACCGCUGCCA
rnacentral:tRNA from 1 species